AGUGAACGCUGGCGGUAGGCCUAACACAUGCAAGUCGAACGGCAGCACAGUAAGAGCUUGCUCUUACGGGUGGCGAGUGGCGGACGGGUGAGGAAUACAUCGGAAUCUACAUUUUCGUGGGGGAUAACGGAGGGAAACUUACGCUAAUACCGCAUACGACCUACGGGGGAAAGCAGGGGAUCUUCGGACCUUGCGCGAUUGAAUGAGCCGAUGUCGGAUUAGCUAGUUGGCGGGGUAAAGGCCCACCAAGGCGACGAUCCGUAGCUGUUCUGAGAGGAUGGUCAGCCACACUCGAACUGAGACACCGUCCAGACUCCUACGGGAGGCAGCAGUGGGUAAUUUUGGACAAUGUGCGCAAGCCUGAUCCAGCCAUACCGCGUGGGUUAAGAAGGCCUUCGGGUUGUAAAGCCCUUUUGUUGGGAAAGAAAAGCAGCAGGUUAAUACCCCGCUGUUCUGACGGUACCCAAAGAAUAAGCACCGGCUAACUUCGUG
rnacentral:rRNA from 1 species